CCUACGGGUGGCAGCAGUGAGGAAUAUUGGUCGAUGGACGAGAGUCUGAACCAGCCAAGUAGCGUGAAGGAUGACUGCCCUAUGGGUUGUAAACUUCUUUUAUAUGGGAAUAAAAUGUUCCACGUGUGGGAUUUUGUAUGUACCAUAUGAAUAAGGAUCGGCUAACUCCGUGCCAGCAGCCGCGGUAAUACGGAGGAUCCGAGCGUUAUCCGGAUUUAUUGGGUUUAAAGGGAGCGUAGGUGGAUUGUUAAGUCAGUUGUGAAAGUUUGCGGCUCAACCGUAAAAUUGCAGUUGAAACUGGCAGUCUUGAGUACAGUAGAGGUGGGCGGAAUUCGUGGUGUAGCGGUGAAAUGCUUAGAUAUCACGAAGAACUCCGAUUGCGAAGGCAGUUCACUGGACUGCAACUGACACUGAGGCUCGAAAGUGUGGGUAUCAAACAGGAUUAGAUACCCGAGUAGUC
rnacentral:rRNA from 1 species